UGCAGGUCAAGCAUUUUCGAUGCCAAGGCAGGGAUCGCUCUUAGCAAAAAAUUUGUGAAGCUCGUCUCGUGGUAUGACAAUGAAUGGGGUUACAGGUGAACUUAAUCUCUCUCGUUCUUUUACUCCCUCUUGUGUUCAUAUCGUUGUCCGACCAAAAAUAUGAUCGUGGAUUUCACGAGCUUGACAUGAUGGUUGUUUGUAUUGCAGUUCUCGUGUAAUUGAUUUGAUCGUUCACAUGGCUUCGGUUCAAGCUUGAGGCUUCCACUGUUGCAACAAGAUCCCUUCCAUUUUCGUUUAGCAUUUUAUGGUUUUUGGGUUCCUCCCUCGAGUCCCUGUUUCGUUCAGUUCUAGAAUAAGUGGAAUUACUACAGCUACUUUUCUAAUUUGCUAAUUUUAUAUUUGUAUCAUUGUUAACAAGUUUUUCCUUGUGGGUUUUAUAUGAAAAACUAAGAUAAUAAACUUUGUGUGAACACAAUCUAUAUUCCAUGAAAAUGUGAUGAACAUUGCAACAUAAUUGUUCAGUAUCU
rnacentral:lncRNA from 1 species